rnacentral:rRNA from 1 species
AACGAACGCUGGCGGCAUGCCUAACACAUGCAAGUCGAACGAGACCUUCGGGUCUAGUGGCGCACGGGUGCGUAACGCGUGGGAACCUGCCCUUAGGUUCGGAAUAACUCCCCGAAAGGGGUGCUAAUACCGGAUAAUGUCUUCGGACCAAAGAUUUAUCGCCUUUGGAUGGGCCCGCGUUGGAUUAGCUAGUUGGUAGGGUAAAAGCCUACCAAGGCGACGAUCCAUAGCUGGUCUGAGAGGAUGAUCAGCCACACUGGGACUGAGACACGGCCCAGACCCCUAGGGGAGGCGGAAGGGGGGAAUAUUGGACAGUGGGCGAAGGCCGGAUCCAGCAAUGCCGCGUGAGUGAUAAGGGCCUUGGGGUUGUAAAGCUCUUUUACCCGGGAUGAUAAGGACAGUACGGGAAAGAUAAGCUCGGGCUAACUCCGUC